UGGCAUCAAAGCUGGUUUGUCAUAGAGUUAAACGUGCAUUUUUUUUUAAAAAAAAGAAAAUGCCAUUCCUAUCACAGCCAGCUUUGAUGAGC
rnacentral:pre_miRNA from 1 species